CCUACGGGAGGCAGCAGUGGGGAAUUUUCCGCAAUGGGCGAAAGCCUGACGGAGCAACGCCGCGUGAGGGACGAAGGCCUCUGGGCUGUAAACCUCUUUUCUCAAGGAAGAAGAUAUGACGGUACUUGAGGAAUAAGCCACGGCUAAUUCCGUGCCAGCAGCCGCGGUAAUACGGGAGUGGCAAGCGUUAUCCGGAAUUAUUGGGCGUAAAGCGUCCGCAGGCGGCUUUUCAAGUCUGCUGUUAAAACGUGGAGCUUAACUCCAUCAUGGCAGUGGAAACUGAAAGGCUUGAGUAUGGUAGGGGCAGAGGGAAUUCCCGGUGUAGCGGUGAAAUGCGUAGAUAUCGGGAAGAACACCAGUGGCGAAGGCGCUCUGCUGGGCCAUUACUGACGCUCAUGGACGAAAGCCAGGGGAGCGAAAGGGAUUAGAUACCCCUGUAGUCCUGGCCGUAAACGAUGAACACUAGGUGUCGGGGGAAUCGACCCCUUCGGUGUCGUAGCUAACGCGUUAAGUGUUCCGCCUGGGGAGUACGCACGCAAGUGUGAAACUCAAAKGAAUUGACGG
rnacentral:rRNA from 1 species